rnacentral:rRNA from 1 species
AGAUUUCUCAGGGUCGUUGUAGACUACGACGUUGAUAGGAUGCAGGUGUAAAGAUGGAGACAUCAAAGCCGAGCAUUACUAAUUGCCCGUCCACUUUCCUUA